ACAAUUACAGUUGAACCUUGGAA
rnacentral:siRNA from 1 species